GAUGAACGCUGGCGGCGUGCUUAACACAUGCAAGUCGAACGAAGCACUCUAUUUGAUUUUCUUCGGAAAUGAAGAUUUUGUGACUGAGUGGCGGACGGGUGAGUAACGCGUGGGUAACCUGCCUCAUACAGGGGGAUAACAGUUGGAAACGACUGCUAAUACCGCAUAAGCGCACAGGAUUGCAUGAUCCGGUGUGAAAAACUCCGGUGGUAUGAGAUGGACCCGCGUCUGAUUAGCCAGUUGGCAGGGUAACGGCCUACCAAAGCGACGAUCAGUAGCCGACCUGAGAGGGUGACCGGCCACAUUGGGACUGAGACACGGCCCAAACUCCUACGGGAGGCAGCAGUGGGGAAUAUUGCACAAUGGGGGAAACCCUGAUGCAGCGACGCCGCGUGAAGGAAGAAGUAUCUCGGUAUGUAAACUUCUAUCAGCAGGGAAGAUA
rnacentral:rRNA from 1 species